rnacentral:rRNA from 1 species
CCUACGGGGUGCAGCAGUGAGGAAUAUUGGUCAAUGGACGAGAGUCUGAACCAGCCAAGUAGCGUGAAGGAUGACUGCCCUAUGGGUUGUAAACUUCUUUUAUAAAGGAAUAAAACGAGGCACGUGUGCCUUUUUGCAUGUACUUUAUGAAUAAGGAUCGGCUAACUCCGUGCCAGCAGCCGCGGUAAUACGGAGGAUCCGAGCGUUAUCCGGAUUUAUUGGGUUUAAAGGGAGCGUAGAUGGGUUGUUAAGUCAGUUGUGAAAGUUUGCGGCUCAACCGUAAAAUUGCAAUUGAUACUGGCAGUCGUGAGUACAGUUGAGGUAAGCGGAAUUCGUGGUGUAGCGGUGAAAUGCUUAGAUAUCACGAAGAACCCCGAUUGCGAAGGCAGCUUACUAAACUGUGACUGUCAUUGAUGCUCGAAAGUGUGGGUAUCAAACAGGAUUAGAUACCCCAGUAGUC